UAUAUAUAUAUAUAUAGGGUUGGGAUCUACAAAGAAGGCCCUAAGAGUAAAGAAUAAAGAAGGAAUCUUAACCAUUGAUUUAGAAUAAAUCAACGGCCUAGAUGGCUUAAUUACUACCGGAUUUAAAGCCAUAAUUAACAGGAAAAAUCCAAAAAAUAAACACUAAAACACGUCUAAGGGCAUAAUGGGAAGCAGAUAUUUUCUGAAUAACUACCCGAAAUAACUCUGGGCGGUAAUUAAGGGAUUUACCUUGCCCAACGUCUCCAAAACCUAGCGAUAGGAAACAUUCGACUCUCUCCAGAAAUGAAUCAGCGGCGAUUCAGCGAACAAGCUUGGGCGACGUUCACUCCCCCUCUAGUAGUUUUCGACGACGGCUUGAAUCGUGUGAUUUCCGGCGGCGCUCCGUGAACAGAGUGUAAGUGUUUAUUUUAUUUAUUGCUUGUUUGGUAUUUUCUGAGAAAGGCAUAUAUUUUGUGAAGAAGAAUGGAAGAUUUGUGGAAAAAAAUGGUGGAGACCUGCGAUUCAAUGGUGGAUUCAAUUUUAGUGUGAGAAAAUUUAUAUGAAAAAUAUGUGAUUUUUCGUGUCUGUAUUGAACGAUGCAUAAGAACGAGACGUGAAUAUUUAUAGAUUUGGGAAAUUCUGGUAAUCCCCUCUCAUCCACCCCCUAUAUCCCCGCCACCACCCCAUUCUCGUCGUCGGCUGCGGCAAUUCCGAUAAUCCCUUUCUCUUCACCUUUUCACCUUCUAUGUGUGUUGUGAGCUACCUAUAUCUGAUUUCAAAAUUGAUCUUUGCACAUUGAUUGACCGAGUAAAACGAAUCUUGCCACGUUUUUGACGUGAUUAAUUCAGCAGGAUUGACACCUUAAAGAUUGUUGUUUUCUCUCUCUGCAUUCGAGGUUUUCACCUGCACUUUAUCUGCAAACUAUUUAAGGUAUAAACUACACAUUUGCACAGCUGAUCAAUUCUUGAUUUGGCCAUUUGAUUGAGUAAUUCUUGUUAGAGCCUAAUUCGUAGUAUAUGUUGUGAUUGCUAUGUGUGAAGAAGAUGAUAAUUCUUGUUGUUUUUCAGUGGCAUUGCUAAGCUGAAGUUGAAUUCUAUUUUUUCUUAUUUGUGAUUUAUUGAUUAGGCUGCAUUUGGUGUAUGGAAGAGUCUGAUUCCGUGAGCAAGUAUGCCCUUCACUUAUUACUAAUCAUGCACAAAAAUGCUUCUGUGUUGGGCAUGACAAUGCAUUUGCAAAAAAUCAAUGAAUCAUAAGUACUCAGCAGCAGGCAUCAUAUGAAGAUUGUAACUUGCAUCAGUAAGAUACAUAUAUGGAUAUUACACGAAAAACAACCUCAUACAGGAUAUUCAGACAAUACCGGACGCAGAGCAGAAUUAGCAUUUUGCUGUUGGUUUUUCCCAGACCAUUGAACUGCAUCCAUUAGGACAUCCCAGAGAAUCCGCACAACUUCAAUAUCCGGGAAUUUAGCAUCUUUCACAUGUUGUUUAACUGUUUCAAUGACUUCAGCUACAUCAGCUGCUUCACUUAUCUGAUUUGUUAUUGCAGUUUUCAUCUUCUUAAGCUUGACCUCAAACAACUUCUUCUCAUUGUACUCAACCAGCAGGAGAAGCCCUUCCUUGCUGAGAUAUGAAGAAAUCAAAGAUAGCUUAAAGAUGAUAGUGAAAGUUGUCAAGGUGGGAUGGGUGAUAAUAUCGUCCGAGAAAGAGAUAUGCAAGCAGGAUUUGUGGCUUUAGAAUGAGUUGAUGAACAACUAUUCAUAGUGUUCAGACAUUAUUGUGUGAUAUUCAUUACUGAAUAAUAUUUAUUCAGAACUUAUUCAUGUUAUUUAGAACUUAUUUAUAACUGAAUAGUAGUUAUUCGAAAGGUACACUAGAUUAUUCAGAACUUAUUCAUGUUAUUCAGUUUCAUGUUUCACUUAUUCGAUUAAUAACAAAGUGGUAUUCGAUAAAUUUUUAAUAUUAUUUACUAUAAUUUUAGCGAAUUAUGCAGUUAGAUUAUGUGUUAUUCAGU
rnacentral:lncRNA from 1 species